AGGCUCCCAAGUCGAAAUCUUGCGGGGCUCGAGGAUGGGUCUGCGGCCUAUCAGGUCGUAGGGGGUUUCACGGACCCCCUAGCCGAAGACGGGUACGGGCUUUGGGAGAAGUCGCCCGGAGAUGGAUUCUGAGACACGAAUCCAGGUCCUACGGGACGUAGCAGGCGCGAAACCUCCACAAUGUGGGAAACCACGAUGGGGGAACUCCAAGUGCUUACACUUUUGUGUAAGCUGUUCUCGAGCCUAAAAAGCUCGAGAAGUAAGGGCCGGGUAAGACGGGUGCCAGCCGCCGCGGUAAUACCCGCGGCCCGAGUGGUGCUCAUUAUUAUUGAGCCUAAAGCGUCCGUAGCUGGCCGGACAAAUCUCCGGGUAAAUCGGGCGGCUCAACCGUCCGAAUUCCGGAGACACUGUUCGGCUUGAGAUCGGGAGAGGGAGAAGGUACUCCUGGGGUAGGGGUAAAAUCCUGUAAUCCGAGGGGGACCACCGGUGGCGAAGGCGUUCUCCUAGAACGAAUCUGACAGUGAGGGACGAAGCCCUAGGGCGCAAACGGGAUUAGAUACCCCGGUAGUCUAGGGUGUAAACGCUGCAGACUUGGUGUUGGGGGUCCUGCGUGGGCUUCCAGUGCCGGAGCGAAGGUGUUA
rnacentral:rRNA from 1 species